rnacentral:lncRNA from 10 species
UCCAAGCUCCUUAAAAUGGGGAAGAUCAUGACAGCAACAGCCUCAGGUCUGUGUCUGGCCUCAUUGGUCACCUUCCUCUGCUGCAGGUCUACUGAACCACUUGUGCUUAUCAGGUUGUGCCGAAUUCUUUCCCUCUUCUUCCAUUCACAUCCCCAUCUUGCCUACCUGGUAAACUCCCAGUUGCUCUUCUAGUCUCAACUCAAGUGCUGACUUCUCUAAGAGAUGGUCUUAAACUCCUCAUAAGACAAAGUCAGAUAACUCCUUCUUCAAGCUAAAAUAGUAUAUUCCUAUUUGAUUAUGUGCCACAUUGGAUUCUGAACACCUGCCUAGAGGUCU